AGAGUUUGAUCCUGGCUCAGGAUGAACGCUAGCGACAGGCUUAACACAUGCAAGUCGAGGGGCAGCACAGGGUAGCAAUACUUGGGUGGCGACCGGCGCACGGGUGAGUAACGCGUAUGCAACUUACCUAUCAGAGGGGGAUAGCCCGGCGAAAGUCGGAUUAAUACCCCAUAAAACAGGGAUCCCGCAUGGGAAUAUUUGUUAAAGAUUCAUCGCUGAUAGAUAGGCAUGCGUUCCAUUAGGCAGUUGGCGGGGUAACGGCCCACCAAACCGACGAUGGAUAGGGGUUCUGAGAGGAAGGUCCCCCACAUUGGUACUGAGACACGGACCAAACUCCUACGGGAGGCAGCAGUGAGGAAUAUUGGUCAAUGGCCGAGAGGCUGAACCAGCCAAGUCGCGUGAAGGAAGAAGGAUCUAUGGUUUGUAAACUUCUUUUAUAGGGGAAUAAAGUGGAGGACGUGUCCUUUUUUGUAUGUACCCUAUGAAUAAGCAUCGGCUAACUCCGUGCCAGCAGCCGCGGUAAUACGGAGGAUGCGAGCGUUAUCCGGAUUUAUUGGGUUUAAAGGGUGCGUAGGUGGUGAUUUAAGUCAGCGGUGAAAGUUUGUGGCUCAACCAUAAAAUUGCCGUUGAAACUGGGUUACUUGAGUGUGUUUGAGGUAGGCGGAAUGCGUGGUGUAGCGGUGAAAUGCAUAGAUAUCACGCAGAACUCCGAUUGCGAAGGCAGCUUACUAAACCAUAACUGACACUGAAGCACGAAAGCGUGGGGAUCAAACAGGAUUAGAUACCCUGGUAGUCCACGCAGUAAACGAUGAUUACUAGGAGUUUGCGAUACAAUGUAAGCUCUACAGCGAAAGCGUUAAGUAAUCCACCUGGGGAGUACGCCGGCAACGGUGAAACUCAAAGGAAUUGACGGGGGCCCGCACAAGCGGAGGAACAUGUGGUUUAA
rnacentral:rRNA from 1 species